UACAUGUGGGGCAAGCGUUGUUCGGAAUUACUGGGCAUAAGGGUGCGUAGGCGGCUUGUUAAGUCAGGGGUGAAAGUUUUCGGCCCAACCGGAAAAUUGCCUUUGAUACUGGCGAGCUGGAGUGCGUGAGGGGUGACCGGAACGAGUGGUGUAGCGGUGAAAUGCGUAGAUAUCACUCGGAAGGCCAACGGCGAAGGCAGGUCACUGGUGCGCAACUGACGCUGAGGCACGAAAGCGUGGGGAGCAAACAGG
rnacentral:rRNA from 1 species